UAUUCGCACCUGCACCCACGGUCCCGUUGCCGGCCGCCGUCCUCGUGCUCCGCCCGAGAUCCAGCCGCCAUCCUCGCGCCUCGCCCGAGAUCCAGCCGCCGUCCGCUCCGCCUAUGAUCCAGCCGCCGUGUUCGCGCUCAGGGAUCCACCCCCAUCCCCGACCUCUAGCCCCCAACCUCGUCCGUCAUCUCCAUCGCGCUCCUCCCUAGAGCUCUCCAUCCGUGCUCCCCGCCCCUGCUGCCGCCGGUAGUCGGUAGAGAUCCAUCCACGAGAUCUUCAUCCCAUUGCGCCCCUCACGAAGGCAGCCGUCCGUUGCUGCAGAUCUCCGCACAACACUCGUUUUUCCAAUAGGUAAGCAUCGGCUCCUCCUGAGAUAAACUUUUAUGUACUACUGUGUGCUUGUACAUUGCUGAACUUUGAACCAUAUGUCAUUGCUGAACUCUGAAAAUUAGGGUAACACUUUCUUAUCUUCUGCUAAGAUUUGUUGAUUUUACAGUUCUUAUUCAUAUUCUCAGCAUCUCAAUUUGGAUACAAAGAUUGGUGCUACAAAACAUCGCGAGCCAUCUGACAUCCAUGUCUCAUAGCUGAUUUUCAUUUAUAUAUUCUUCGUACUAUUAUGAACUCUUUAUCUCCUAUAAAUUAGAAAGUAAUUAUUCGUUUAACAUGUGAUAUGGGUUAAAAUUCAUAUGUUGUUAGCAUUGUGUGACUUCCUAAUUUCUAGGUGGUUCAAUUUUGUUAUUUAAAGCCACGACCCAUUGUGUGACUUCCAGUAUUUUGGGUGAAUUGGCGUGGUCAAAUGGAGGCUCCUGGAGGUUCAUAACCUCUAUUUUUUUAUAGGAAGCACAUUUGAUUGUCAAUAUGUAUUUCUAAAUUAUAUAGUGCUAACGAUCGAGUUGGCUUCAACUUCGCUGUAGAACUGAAUGUUAUUUGUGCUGUAACAUCAUUUAGUUUCUGAUGCUUCAUGGUUUAAUUUUGGGUCGACGGGCUUCGUGCUGCAGGAGCGGGUGUACAUGAUGGUGAGCUUGCAGACAGUGAGUACGCGGUACUACCUGGCAACAAGGCUGAGGAGGUGGGCGAGCGGAGGGCGCCGAGAUGGACCCUGAGUCUACUCAGUGUUUAAGGACGCACAUUCCAAUUUUAUUCUGCAUCACUAUUGAACUGCAUCGUCAUCUACACUAGAUAUUUAUGGAUAACAGUGUCUUUGUUUGAUAUAUUUUUUUAUGUGAGCACGGUGUUGUUUUCCUUUUGCAUGAAUAUGGCAUUAGCAUUCAAACCUUAGGCUCAACAUAUACUCUCAUCUUCCUCUGCAACCACAUACCUUCAACUACUUGAAGCUGCAUACUGUUUCCAGAGGGAGAAUUGCAAGUUCCGAUCACAUUCAAACAUUAGGGGCACCUUCUCAUAGUGCCUCACACCGCAUUGUUUGGACAUGUGAAUUCCAACUGUAGAGUCAACCGCCUCGGUGCAGUGGCUAGAUAGUUUCAGGACCCAGACUUUCAAUACUUUUAUGAGAUGUUCGUGUUCACGCUGGUUGCUCGCAUAAUAUUUGUUCUUUUGACAAGUUCAUGCAGUAUACUAACCAAGUACAUAACUUGCAGACCUUUGGCCUUUACUUUAUGAUUUGAUUUGGGAAGCCGAGUUAUCUAUAUUGAACACAUUUUUUUGAAGGAUGGUUGAUACAUGUCUACACAUUUUGUCAGAGCAAUUUGCGAUGAAAGAAGCAGCCUCAAACUGAUAAGAAGGCAAUAUUUAUUUCUAUGAAGUAAUGGUUAUUGUUGUAGAUCAAGGAUGAUAAGAAGGCAACUAAUGUACUAGGAGGUACAAGUACUACAACAUACUACAUACAUUAAGUUUAUUGUUUCUCUCUCGGAAAUAUACAUAGAUCAUUUUGAGCCUUGACUAGAGCGCCAGAUUUAUGCCUGAACUUAUAACAUUGGUGCUAUAUACAUCCAUUUGAGGGACAAGCUUUUUCGGACGGUGGGAGUAACAUUUUGUAUCUCGUUGAUAAAAUUGAACUCCACAUACUGUAGUUCAUAAUUAAAAAUAUGAAAAUGACACAACAUGAUCUGAAGCGCACAUACAUUGCUUGGGAGUUAACAUACACAUAUCAGUUUGGUGUUAUCCCUUUGGUGGUCACAAUCUGAAGAUAACAUGGCAUAAACUGAACUUCACAUACUACAAUUUAUUUGGUCAGAAGUUGUACAUUUUUGUUCUACUUCAUCAGACAACAUACAAACACAAUUAUUUGUACAAUUAUUUUCAAACUUUGAAGAUCACAUCAGCUAACUUCCUAUUAGAACAAAUACAAGUUCAGAUUGGCUGAUCCUACUACAGGUUCAUGCAUGUAAGAUGUUGAAUAAAAUUUGUAGAUUUGCCUGCCAUGGUGAAAUGCUUAUUCUAUGUAUAUCUAGAUAUGUCUGCAUGAUGAUUCCUUUCAGCAUUUUAUAAAUUUGACCGCAUGUAUGAUAGAACUAUUUUAUGUGUGUUAUGGACAUAUGUCAUAAACACUCGAUUCUUAUGCUUCUCUUGGCUGCCAAUCUCCCUAUGAGAGCUUCAAAGCACUUGAGCUGACUGCACUUUCUUCCAAAUUCUUGUAGAGUAUUUUUAGGUAAUCAGCAACCUAAUACGCAUGGAUGUGAUGACUUUGAAGUGUUAUGGAGCAUUUGGAUGUCUGCAGUAUUUUGGACCAGCCAACUCAAUUGUAAUCAUGAAUCGUGUUACAGACCAUUUGCUGCUUAAGUGUUAUGUAGUAGAGAUCUUGUGCUCAUGGAUGUGACUCAAGUGUUUUGGACCAUUUAGUGUUUGAACUAUAUAUUUUAGACCAGCAAAUAGGGGCCUUUUAUGUGACUUGUGUUUUCUGGAUGGUUGCCAAGAUGGCCAAACUUUGCUUUGUGAAGAUUGACUUGUGUUUGAACCUGUGCACAAUAUAUAUAUAUAUAUAUAUGUUUGUAUUUUUGUUACCAUAUUAUCAAUGAUUGUGCAAUUUGUGUUCAUCUUGAUCCCAUUUUGUGCAUCAUCAUUGAAAAUUGCAUAUAACAUUUGAAUUAGAGCAGUAUCCAAUUGUUGUUUUGGCUGUGCACCAUCUUACCAACAAUUUAUAUGUCAGUAAAAACAUUCCAACGCGGAAAGUGUUGCCAAAAGUAUGCC
rnacentral:lncRNA from 1 species